rnacentral:tRNA from 1 species
AAGGAUGUGGCUCAGUGGUAGAGCACUUGCUUAAUAGGCAUAAUGUCCUGGUUUCAAUUUCUAGCAUUGUCC